rnacentral:rRNA from 1 species
GACGAACGCUGGCGGCGUGCCUAACACAUGCAAGUCGAGCGAUGAAACCCUUCGGGGUGGAUUAGCGGCGGACGGGUGAGUAACACGUGGGUAACCUGCCUCAAAGAGGGGAAUAGCCUCCCGAAAGGGAGAUUAAUACCGCAUAAUAUGUUUUGAUCGCAUGAUCUUGACAUCAAAGGAGUAAUCCGCUUUGAGAUGGACCCGCGGCGCAUUAGCUAGUUGGUGAGGUAACGGCUCACCAAGGCGACGAUGCGUAGCCGACCUGAGAGGGUGAACGGCCACAUUGGAGCUGAGACACGGUCCAGACUCCUACGGGAGGCAGCAGUGGGGAAUAUUGCGCAAUGGGGGAAACCCUGACGCAGCAACGCCGCGUGAAUGAUGAAGGCCUUCGGGUUGUAAAGUUCUGUCUUCUGGGACGAUAAUGACGGUACCAGAGGAGGAAGCCACGGCUAACUACGUGCCAGCAGCCGCGGUAAUACGUAGGUGGCAAGCGUUGUCCGGAUUUACUGGGCGUAAAGGAUGCGUAGGCGGACAUUUAAGUCAGAUGUGAAAUACCCGAGCUUAACUUGGGUGCUGCAUUUGAAACUGGGUGUCUAGAGUGCAGGAGAGGUAAGUGGAAUUCCUAGUGUAGCGGUGAAAUGCGUAGAGAUUAGGAAGAACACCAGUGGCGAACGCGACUUACUGGACUGUAACUGACGCUGA